ensembl:lncRNA
CUGGGCUCUCCCCUUUCGGGGAGCAAUCAGUUUCUCCGCAGGGAAGUCUGUCCUCAGACAUUACACGAGGGACAGUUGGGUACAGUGACGGCCUCUCAAGCUGGACCACCUGGGUCCAAUGCGUCCACCACCCUUGACGAGCCUGUGAUCUUGGGCAAGUUACUUGACUUCUCUGAGCCUCACUUUCAUUGCCUGUGAAGUGGAGACAGAAUAAGGCACACCACACAGGAUCAUUGGGAAGCCCAAAGGACGUGACGUGAACAUGCGGACAGCAUCACCUGGUCACAGGCUCGUCUUCUCUCCUCCCAGCACACUCCAUAUGCAAGCCCACUCCACUUUGACAUUCCUGAUGUCAACUUCCUAUCUGGUGGGGCUGACGCUGUGACUCUGGCUGGUGGUGUUAGGUGAGACCACACCUGACACAACCCCUCAGAUCUCGAGGAACAAGCAAGCCUAGGAGGGUCACUGAAUGCUGGGGACACACUCACUAUCACAAAACGUUCAAGAGCUUCAGACAGGGGCUGAGCCACGGCCUCUGAUUGCGAAAGGACUGAGAACCCCUUGAGAUGGCCUGGAACCCUGCCUGCGUUCGGGACUCAGGAGCACGCAGCCAUCAGGAGGGCUGCAAGAGGGAGCAACAUGCCUGAGAGAAAGUCACCAGAAGCGAGGAGCCUGGCAGGGGCCUGUGACGGGCAGCAGGGCCGGCCAUUAGAGAGGACCUGAUUCCCUCAGUGGAAGUCUUACAGGAGCAAUGCCUGACCUCCCCCACAAGGAGGAAUUCUGCCAGCGGACAGCCCUCCCCUGUGAACUCUCAGAUCUGGAGGCUCUUCUCUGGGCCUCCAGCCUCCUGUAUUUUAGACUUGCCAGGCUCCAAGAUCACGUGAGCCGAUUCCUUAAAAUAAAUCCCCCCUCUACACACACAGACACACACUCACACACACCCUAUUGGUUCUGCUUCCCUGGACAAUCCUGACUUACACAAUCACGCUUAGUGUUUCAAAGUUCAGUUGGUGAUUUAAUUGACCGUGCCUCCAGCUCUCUGUGACCCAGCAUAGCAGAGUGCAAGGGUGAGCCCAGAACAUCUUGGCUGUCUCUUGCACCAUGCCUCCCAGCCCCCCCUGUGGUACUGCGGUCAUGCAUUUUGGGUGGAGGGACCCCGCCCCUCACUGGAGGCCCACCUCCAGGAUGCAGGGCAAUUUGCUUUACUCGAAGACCACCAGUUUAAAUGUAAAUCUCAUCCAAAAUCACGCUCACAGAAGCAUCCAGAAUAAUGUUCGACCAACUGUCUGAACCCUGGGAUCCCACCCAGCGGACACGUAAAAUUAACCAUCACAACUAUUCCAUUUGUUCUGCAAAAGUGAAAAAGACGCCCUUUUUUGUCAAGAUAGACCCUAAGUACAAAAGAGUCUGUGCACUUUCUUGGGACAACAUAAUCCACUGGCAUAUGGAUCUUCCCACCUGCUGGGGUGCUGGUUUAUGAUACGGCCAAAACUGGGUCUUCCUCUUGCAGUUCAGGGGUCCUUGCGUCUGAGCGAGCUGAGGAAGGAGGGAGGGACUGGCGCACAACCAAAUUCCCAGGCUUGAACUGGCCCCAACCACCUCUGGGAAGCAAAACAUCCAGAAAAAGGCAAAUUAGCAGGACCUGUUUCAGGAAGAAGACAAGUGCUGUCCAUUGCAGUUUUCACACACAUUCUGGGCGUGGUACCUCAGGAAAAUUGGAAAUCAGAGCAGAGGAGAAAUUAGGGAGGUGAAUGGCAUCCUGAUCUUGCCUUGCAGGACCUGGGCCCCGUUCCUGAUGGUAAGGAUGAAGACAGAAACCCCAAUCCUUGGGCUGCUAUUGGCUCAGCCUCAUGGGAAACAGAUUCUGAGUUUCUCUCUUGUCAUUGCCUUAAAAUUUUCAGCAACUUAGUAGCUUCACUAUAAAAUGGUUAUUGUAAAAUACUUGUAUUAAAUUUAUUUUUAUGUUUCUUUUAGGAAAAUGAA